rnacentral:piRNA from 1 species
UGAAUACCUCGUAUGCAUUCAGAU